rnacentral:rRNA from 1 species
GAGUUUGAUCAUGGCUCAGGACGAACGCUGGCGGCGUGCUUAACACAUGCAAGUCGAACGAUGAAGCCUAGCUUGCUAGGUGGAUUAGUGGCGAACGGGUGAGUAAUACGUGAGUGACCUACCUUUGACUCUGGGAUAAGCCUGGGAAACUGGGUCUAAUACCGGAUACGACCAAUCUCCGCAUGGGGUGUUGGUGGAAAGCGUUAUGGAGUGGUUUUAGAUGGGCUCACGGCCUAUCAGCUUGUUGGUGAGGUAAUGGCUUACCAAGGCGACGACGGGUAGCCGGCCUGAGAGGGUGACCGGCCACACUGGGACUGAGACACGGCCCAGACUCCUACGGGAGGCAGCAGUGGGGAAUAUUGCACAAUGGGCGCAAGCCUGAUGCAGCGACGCCGCGUGAGGGAUGACGGCCUUCGGGUUGUAAACCUCUGUUAGCAUCGAAGAAGCGAAAGUGACGGUAGGUGCAGAGAAAGCGCCGGCUAACUACGUGCCAGCAGCCGCGGUAAUACGUAGGGCGCGAGCGUUGUCCGGAAUUAUUGGGCGUAAAGAGCUUGUAGGCGGUUGGUCGCGUCUGCUGUGAAAGGCUGGGGCUUAACCCUGGUUUUGCAGUGGGUACGGGCUAACUAGAGUGCAGUAGGGGAGACUGGAAUUCCUGGUGUAGCGGUGGAAUGCGCAGAUAUCAGGAGGAACACCGAUGGCGAAGGCAGGUCUCUGGGCUGUAACUGACGCUGAGAAGCGAAAGCAUGGGGAGCGAACAGGAUUAGAUACCCUGGUAGUCCAUGCCGUAAACGUUGGGCACUAGGUGUGGGGGACAUUCCACGUUUUCCGCGCCGUAGCUAACGCAUUAAGUGCCCCGCCUGGGGAGUACGGCCGCAAGGCUAAAACUCAAAGAAAAUUGACGGGGGCCCGCACAAGCGGCGGAGCAUGCGGAUUAAUUCGAUGCAACGCGAAGAACCUUACCAAGGCUUGACAUAUACUGGACUGCGUCAGAGAUGGCGUUUCCCUUCGGGGCUGGUAUACAGGUGGUGCAUGGUUGUCGUCAGCUCGUGUCGUGAGAUGUUGGGUUAAGUCCCGCAACGAGCGCAACCCUCGUUCUAUGUUGCCAGCACGUGAUGGUGGGGACUCAUAGGAGACUGCCGGGGGUCAACUCGGAGGAAGGUGGGGAUGACGUCAAAUCAUCAUGCCCCUUAUGUCUUGGGGCUUCACGCAUGCUACGAAUGGCCGGUACAGAGGGUUGCGAUACUGUGAGGUGGAGCUAAUCCCUAAAAAGCCGGUCUCGGUUUCGGAUUGGGGUCUGCAAACUCGACCCCCGUGAAGUCGGAGUCGCUAGUAAUCGCAGAUCAGCAAACGCUGCGGUGAAAUACGUUCCCGGGCC